rnacentral:tRNA from 2 species
GAGCUGGUAGCUCAACUGGGAGAGCAUCUGCCUGGCAUGCAUGAAACUGUGGGUUUGAUCCCCCGCAUCUCA